rnacentral:rRNA from 1 species
CGCCUACCGGGGUCUAUAAUGCAGUCGACGACUCUGGUAUUGAUUGGUGCUUGCAUCAUGAUUUACAUUUGAGUGAGUGGCGAACUGGUGAGUAACACGUGGGAAACCUGCCCAGAAGCGGGGGAUAACACCUGGAAACAGAUGCUAAUACCGCAUAACAACUUGGACCGCAUGGUCCGAGUUUGAAAGAUGGCUUCGGCUAUCACUUUUGGAUGGUCCCGCGGCGUAUUAGCUAGAUGGUGGGGUAACGGCUCACCAUGGCAAUGAUACGUAGCCGACCUGAGAGGGUAAUCGGCCACAUUGGGACUGAGACACGGCCCAAACUCCUACGGGAGGCAGCAGUAGGGAAUCUUCCACAAUGGACGAAAGUCUGAUGGAGCAACGCCGCGUGAGUGAAGAAGGGUUUCGGCUCGUAAAACUCUGUUGUUAAAGAAGAACAUAUCUGAGAGUAACUGUUCAGGUAUUGACGGUAUUUAACCAGAAAGCCACGGCUAACUACGUGCCAGCAGCCGCGGUAAUACGUAGGUGGCAAGCGUUGUCCGGAUUUAUUGGGCGUAAAGCGAGCGCAGGCGGUUUUUUAAGUCUGAUGUGAAAGCCUUCGGCUCAACCGAAGAAGUGCAUCGGAAACUGGGAAACUUGAGUGCAGAAGAGGACAGUGGAACUCCAUGUGUAGCGGUGAAAUGCGUAGAUAUAUGGAAGAACACCAGUGGCGAAGGCGGCUGUCUGGUCUGUAACUGACGCUGAGGCUCGAAAGUAUGGGUAGCAAACAGGAUUAGAUACCCUGGUAGUCCAUACCGUAAACGAUGAAUGCUAAGUGUUGGAGGGUUUCCGCCCUUCAGUGCUGCAGCUAACGCAUUAAGCAUUCCGCCUGGGGAGUACGGCCGCAAGGCUGAAACUCAAAGGAAUUGACGGGGGCCCGCACAAGCGGUGGAGCAUGUGGUUUAAUUCGAAGCUACGCGAAGAACCUUACCAGGUCUUGACAUACUAUGCAAAUCUAAGAGAUUAGACGUUUCCCUUUCGGGACAUGGGAUACAGGGUGGGUGCAUGGAUGUCGUCAGCUCGUGUCGUGAGAUGUGGGCUAAGUCCCCGCACGAGCGCACCCCUAUAUCAGUUGCCAGCAUUUAGGUGGGCACCUCUGGUUGAGACCUGCCAUGACCGACGCAGGAACGUGGGAUGGACGUCCGAAUUCCAUUCCAAUGGUCCCCCUCU